rnacentral:lncRNA from 1 species
GAUUGCCCAGUUUGUAAAACAAUCUGUGUGCACCUUUUUCCUCAAUAGUUGUGCUUAUAAGGCAAGCUCGGACUUAAGACUUGGGUUGUGCCAGUCAGACUGCCUGAACAGAAGAAACAACAUGAAGUUCACCAAGAUGUGGAAGCCACGGUGAAAAGAGGUCCUGAACAAGCCUGAACUUCUCUGCAGCCAUAAAGAGGUGUAAUACAACAGGUAGAUGUGUCUGAACUAAAGAAAGUACCUUGGAUAUUGUACUGGAGUAACAGCCAUGUGAACUUCAAUUUGCAGUUGUUACUCAGUAAUUGGAAGAAGCAUUAAGGGGACAGUCCUGGUUGUAGCUGGUAAAGACACAAGGAAGUUCCAAAGGCGUCAUUAUGGAUGUGGAACCCAGCGUGCUCCGUCCUGCAAGAUCUCAGCAUCAUUUUCGUUUCACCUCCUGCCUGAGUGGCACAGAUUUUACAGAAAGGCAAAAUGUGGUCCCAGUCCUGCAUGUGGAAAUAUCUGGCAUGACUUCCUUCACUGUUGUAAUCUGAGGAGUUGCUUCUGGAUCUCUAUUAUAAAUUAAGGUAC